GUUUAUAUAGCUUAAAUCUAUAAGAGCAUAGCAUUGAAGAUGCUAAGGUAAAAUACUUUUAUAAACG
rnacentral:tRNA from 1 species